rnacentral:rRNA from 1 species
CUAACGAGGAUUUCCUUAGUAACGGCGAGUGAAAAGGAAAAAGCCCAACGCUGAAUCCAAUAGAUUAUUUUAUAGCUAUAUGGAAAUGUAGCGUAUAGGUUUAACUAAUCGUAACAUAUUUUUACACCCAAAGUCCCCUUGAGCGGGGCUACAAUCCAUAGAAGGUGCUAGACCUGUACGGGUGAAAAAAGUUACGAUAGGUUAUACUUUAGAGUCGGGUUGUUUGAGAUUGCAGCCCAAAGAGGGUGGUAAACCUCAUCUAAGGCUAAAUACGACCACGAGACCGAUAGCAAACAAGUACCGUGAGGGAAAGUUGCAAAGAACUUUGAAGAGAGAGUUCAAGAGGGCGUGAAACCGCUGAGAUGGAAACGGAUAGAGUUAACGAAACUUAUCGGUAUUCAACCAAUCAAUUUUAGCAAUAAUCUUAAUUGUUUUAAUUUGAAUAAAAAUAAUACAUUUAAGAUUAUAAUGCUAAAAUUUUAAUAAUGAUUGGUGUAUUUACCGAUGGUAUGCAUUGAGAGCUUCGUUUAAAUUUUUUAGCAUAUAUUUAUUAUAUUUAGUGGACCAAUUAUUGUUUGUUAAUAAUUGGAAUCCUAAAUAUAUUUUAAAAAUAUGUCUUAAAUGAAGUUUUUAUUCCCAUUUUUAAUAUGUAACUCUCACUAUUUAMUAAAAUAGUGACAYGCAUYGAUUAUAAUUUUUAUUAAUUAUAUUUAUAAUAUAGUUGUAUUUUAUGCAACUUAUUAWUUAUAAAUUAAUUAGUAAGMUUAUAAUMUUMUAUGCWAAAUAAAUGAGUUACAUCUCAAUGUGAACGUUAAUCACCUAUCUGACCCGUCUUGAAACACGGACCAAGGAGU